UACAUGUGGGGCAAGCGUUGUUCGGAAUUACUGGGCAUAAAGGGCGCGUAGGCGGCUCGGCACGUCCGUUGUGAAAUCGCCCGGCUCAACUGGGCGGGGUCGGCGGAUACGGCCGAGCUGGAGCAAGCUAGGGGGUAAUGGAAUUCCCGGUGUAGUGGUGGAAUGCGUAGAUAUCGGGAGGAACACCAGUGGCGAAGGCGGUUACCUGGAGCUUUGCUGACGCUGAUGCGCGAAAGCGUGGGGAGCGAUCCGG
rnacentral:rRNA from 1 species